rnacentral:rRNA from 1 species
AACGAACGCUGGCGGCAUGCCUAACACAUGCAAGUCGAACGAAGCCUUCGGGCUUAGUGGCGCACGGGUGCGUAACGCGUGGGAAUCUGCCCUUGGGUUCGGAAUAACAGUUAGAAAUGACUGCUAAUACCGGAUGAUGUCUUCGGACCAAAGAUUUAUCGCCCAAGGAUGAGCCCGCGUAGGAUUAGGUAGUUGGUGGGGUAAUGGCCCACCAAGCCGACGAUCCUUAGCUGGUCCGAGAGGAUGAUCAGCCACACUGGGACUGAGACACGGCCCAGACUCCUACGGGAGGCAGCAGUUGGGAAUAUUGGACAAUGGGCGAAAGCCUGAUCCAGCAAUGCCGCGUGAGUGAUGAAGGCCUUAGGGUUGUAAAGCUCUUUUACCAGGGAUGAUAAUGACAGUACCUGGAGAAUAAGCGCCGGCUAACUCCGUGCCAGCCGCCGCGGUAACAC